rnacentral:rRNA from 1 species
GUCUACGGCCGUGCCACCCUGAACAAGCCCGAUCCCGUCUGAUCUCGGAAGCUAAGCAAGGUUGGGCCUGGUUAGUACUUGGAUGGGAGACCACCUAGGAAGACCAGGUGCUGUAGGUG